GAGGGCAUCCCCGGGACCAGCAGCACCUCAUCUUCACUGGCAAGCAGCUCGAGGACAGCCGCACCCUAGUCGACUGCAACAUCCAGAAGGAGUCAGCCCUCCACCUUGUCCUCCACCUCGACGGUGGCGCCAAGAAGCGCAAGAAGAACACCUGCACCAAGCCGGCGGUGACUGAGGGAAAUUCCCCCCCUCUUUUUUAUAAACUUUAUUGUUACUAGUCUAAUUGAACAUUAGCAGCAUGUUCUUAUUUUGAAGAUUUGGGUAUGUUACUGCAAAUCGUUGAGUUAUUGAACCAUUUGCAUCAUGAGCUGUGCCUCGUUAACUUGCUUAUUUGUGAGUUGUGUUAUAGAGGUUUCUGUGGGAAGCUUGUCGAGACACUACUUUAAUCAUCUUGAUGGUAGCUGCGGCUGCUUCUUUGGCCCUUGGGAUAAAGACAGAGGGUAUAAAAGAAGGAUGGUAUGAUGGUGGAAGUAUUGCGUUGGCUGUCUUUAUCGUCAUUGUUGUAACAGGUUGGAUUUUCUGUUAACGGAGUAAUAAUACUAACUUUUAUGUGGGUUUUGAAGGCAUUCCUUGAGGACGAUGGAAGGUAACUUUGGUCCGGAUCUUCUUGGCUUUCUUCUUAAAAGUUGUCCCAGAUUUGACAAAUUUGGCAACCUUGGCUGCCUGAGCCUUUGUAUCAAGUUUUUUUGUGGUGUCAGCUUUAGGAGCCAUUGCUGAAAACUGCCUUACAAAUCUUUUACCUGAGGGGAGGAGCGGAGUGUUGAGGGGAGGAGCUGAGUGUUGCUGAAGCGGCUCUGUGUUGAAAUUUGGGACUUGGAUUUGUUUUGUAAAGCUACCUCGAGUUAUAUGUGAAAUUUAGGCCAAAUACCACUUAUCAAACUAUCUAUAGGGUGUUGUUGAACUUCAUUAUGAUAUUUGAAUGCUUAUAUGAUAUUUUGACAUUUCGUAAUGCAAUGGAUGCAUUCAUUUGCUAAUUAUAAA